rnacentral:rRNA from 1 species
AUUGAACGCUGGCGGCAUGCUUUACACAUGCAAGUCGAACGGUAACAGGCCUUCGGGUGCUGACGAGUGGCGAACGGGUGAGUAAUGCAUCGGAACGUACCCAGAGGUGGGGGAUAACGCAGCGAAAGCUGUGCUAAUACCGCAUGUGAUCUGAGGAUGAAAGCGGGGGACCGAGCCGCACUUUUUGGCCUCGCGCCUUUGGAGCGGCCGAUGUCGGAUUAGCUAGUUGGUGGGGUAAAGGCCUACCAAGGCGACGAUCCGUAGCUGGUCUGAGAGGACGACCAGCCACACUGGGACUGAGACACGGCCCAGACUCCUACGGGAGGCAGCAGUGGGGAAUUUUGGACAAUGGGCGCAAGCCUGAUCCAGCAAUGCCGCGUGCGGGAAGAAGGCCUUCGGGUUGUAAACCGCUUUUGGCAGGAACGAAACGGUGUCCGCUAAUACCGGGCGCUAAUGACGGUACCUGCAGAAUAAGCACCGGCUAACUACGUG